rnacentral:lncRNA from 1 species
CAUAAUCACAUGGAAAAAUCAAAUAACAAAACGCAUCAAAAACGAAUGGACAAGAACUGUCAUAUUCCUGACUUGGUACAGGCAUUUUCAAAUGUAGAAAAUGGUGGAUUGAACCUGGUUUUAUAGCUAGCUAAACCUCUCACUUGUAUGACAGUCGCAUCAAAUUCCAUUAUAUAGUCACCGAUGCGUGAACAAAACAAAC